UCUGCUGCCACCAAGUGGCCGGCAUCUCCCCUAUAAAUACCUGCUCAGAAGGCCUGGCCAGCCUAUAUAAAAUGGCUGCUCUAAAAGCAACAGGUUUCUUUUUGGUAAAAGCCCAGAAGUGCAUGGACAAAAAGAGAAGACUGAAAUGAAGAGUAAAGGAUCUGAGAUUCUCUGUUCACUAAAACAGAUGCCUCACCCAGUGAAGAAUAUCCAUAAAGGAGCCUGAAAAGAACAAGACAGUGGUGGCACAGUUAUGAGCAGACUGUUUGCUGGAUCAGAUUCUACUGGGCCGUUUUCCCAUCACAAUGACGGAUUUUCUGUCAGUUGUCUAAAUUGUGUUUCUGGAAAUUCUAAUAUUAAGGACUGUAUGUUUUGGAAAUUGUAUGUAUUAAACCUUUUUACAACUUUUUUUUUUCUUGGUUUAGUCUUUGGUUCUAAAA